ACUCCUACGGGAGGCAGCAGUGGGGAAUAUUGCACAAUGGGCGCAAGCCUGAUGCAGCCAUGCCGCGUGAGUGAUGAAGGCCCUAGGGUCGUAAAGCUCUUUCGCCAGGGAUGAUAAUGACAGUACCUGGUAAAGAAACCCGGCUAACUCCGUGCCAGCAGCCGCGGUAAUACGGAGGGGGUUAGCGUUGUUCGGAAUUACUGGGCGUAAAGCGCGCGUAGGCGGACUGGAAAGUUGGGGGUGAAAUCCCGGGGCUCAACCCCGGAACUGCCUCCAAAACUCCCAGUCUUGAGUUCGAGAGAGGUGAGUGGAAUUCCGAGUGUAGAGGUGAAAUUCGUAGAUAUUCGGAGGAACACCAGUGGCGAAGGCGGCUCACUGGCUCGAUACUGACGCUGAGGUGCGAAAGUGUGGGGAGCAAACAGGAUUAGAUACCCUGGUAGCGACUGA
rnacentral:rRNA from 1 species